GUGUGCAACUGGUACUUUGAUGUCUGGGGACCUGGAACGCAGCUGAUUGUCACUUCAGAUCCAAAUGAAACUCCUUUGGUGUUUCCCCUGAUGCCUUGCUGUGAUUCCGACGAAAACAAGGCAGAUGUAACCUUCGCCUGCCUCCUUGCUGCAAAUAUGAUGAAUUUGGCAACUAUUGAGUGGCAACCCAGCAACAGUCAAGCAAAAACGUUCCCAGCAACACAGCAAAGAAUAGGCAGCAGAUUUUACAGUGCCAGUCAGCUGACAGUCCAUUCGGAAGAACUUAAAACAAAAUCUUAUCAGUGCCUUGUGAACCAGCAGUCAGAAAAGGGGGAGCGACCAUCAGCAACCAUCCGCUACAGUGAUUGCACUCUACAAGCUCGAAAGCCAAUCCAAGUUAACAUCUUCACCCCCAGCUGCGGUGAGCAGGCCGCAGAGACCAGCCUAGAUCUGGUAUGCUUCCUCUGGAGCCUUGGCCCUGGGAAAGCCUAUGUGGAAUGGCUGAGGAAUGGAGAAGUGGAGCAGGGCAGAGUGCAGGUGUCACUGGCAGCGGACCAAGGGAAAAGCAGUAGCUACUCCAGAUUUGUCCGAUGGAAUAUCACCAAAGAGAGCUGGGACAGAGGGGACAUCUACACAUGUAAAGUGGCUCGAUCAGCUCGCAACCCGGACAUCGUAAUGUACAACACCAGCAAGUGCCAGGCCUGCUAUGCUUCACUGCUGAAACCUACUGUCUCCAUCAUCAAGCCAUCCUAUAGAGACGUGGUUGAAGGGACAGCCAAUGUUACUUGUGCUGUGGUUGGUUUUGGCCUUGAAAACAUUGAAGUUACUUGGGAUGUGGAUGGCAAGCCCAGUACUAUGGGUCAGAAGACCAUGAGGGGAAAGGACGCCAGUGGAGAACAGGAGAUUAAAAACACCCACACGAUAUCUUUGGAACAAUGGAGAAAGGGUACCAGAUUCACCUGCAAAGUGGCUGGAGGUUGCUAUGAAGAAGUCAUCAAACAAUUAACAAUCAAGAAAGAGACACAAACCAUGGAGCCCUCCAUCACCGUUUCAAAAGCCAACUUUGACGUCUCGCUCCAGAGUACCGUGGCCCUGAUUCUUGUCUGCAAUGUGAAUGGGUUUUCCCCAGAGGAAAUUAGCAUCUCAUGGAAGAAGGACAACAAUAUCCUGAAUGAAACACUGUAUGACAACGGACCAGUGACACCAGCUGGGAAGGGGUACACCACUUACAGCAUCCUUAAAAUUGGCAGAGACGAAGCAGGGGGGAAGGGCGGCAGCUACAGCUGUGUGGUCCACCAUUCCUCGUCCAACCAGCCACUCACUAAGAGUGAAAAGGUACCCAUUGAUUUUCUGCAACCAGCUCCCCCGCAGGUGACAGCAUUCCACACCUCGGAAGAUGGGGGAAGCCAGAAACUUGUUUGCUUUGCUACCGACUUCUAUCCCAAAAAUAUAGACAUUGAAUGGGCCACCAAAGGACACAGGCUCAGCUGCAGUCCUAACUCAUCAGCUCUGGUCCCACUUGGUAAUGGGAAGUUCCAGAAGACCUGCAGUUGGGUACUCAGCGGAGAAGAGUGGAGAGAGCCAGAAAUCUAUACAUGCACUGUGAAUCACAGCUCAACCAACACCAUGAUUAAGAAGGACUUGCAUUAUUCUGGAAUGGCCCCACUUCUUAACAAGACAGCUAUCAAAAUGCAGCCACCACCCUUUGAAGAUCUCUUUAUAAACAAAAGUGCCGUUCUGACAUGCAUGAUGCCCCUUGCAAAUGCAACCAUCAACUCAACAGUCAGUUGGACAAUAGAUGGAGAACCUGCCGACACAAAAGCUGUGACUACCACAUUCUUGAAUGAAACAAACAGCACUUCUUGGAUCUACGGACAACUGCGCGUGAAUCUGACUGAAUGGAAAACCACUGUGAAGUUCACCUGUAGCAUCCAAAAUGGCCUAGGAGAAACCAAGCAACACUUUGAGCGAAGGAAUGGCACAAUGAAGCCCCCAAAAGUCUAUCUCCAGCAACAGUCCUCCAAUGAUGACUUAAAUGUAACCUUAUUCUGCGUGGUCAGAGACUUCUACCCAGGAGAAAUCUUUGUGAAGUGGGAAGAGGAGAAAAAAGGAAUGUCACUGAAGGGUUAUGAUGCUCAUGGUCUGAAAUGUGACCAUGAAAAACAAAGAUGUUCCUUAGUGAGCAUACUUGAAGUCCCCACAAGCAAGUGGCUGACAGGAGUCUCUUACGCAUGCCUUGUAGCACACGUCUCCUCUGAAAACAUCACAAUCAGAAGAACCAAUUCCCUUUCCGAUUCCUGGGACUGUGCCAUCAUGGGUACUGCUCUGUGCGAUAUCCGCAACGAAAACGAAGAUGAGUACAGUGAACUCGAGGAGGCCAACAGCGUCUGGAACAAAGUUUCCACUUUCAUGGUCCUCUUCACUGUUGCAAUCUUCUAUGGGGGACUUGUCACUUUCAUCAAGGUGAAGUAACCUUCCUCCUUAUCUCAUGAUGAAGAAUAUGCAGAAUAAGACCCUGCUUUUUCUCUCCAUUAUAUAGUUCUCUCAGUCUUUUUCCAUUAUAAUUUUUGUCUGCUACAAUACAACAAAGCAUUAAUGUCAGAAAACAUUAACUUCAGUGUUACUUUGUUUGCUUUGCCAUCUUUUGCGAUAAUCGACACAGCCAACUUUGCUUCAAAAAGAUGGUUAACAGGUCACUGAGGAAAGUGACCUCAACUUUACAUCAACAUUAUCACAAAUAGUAAAUAACUUUGUGUAUCAAUAUUGCA